CCUACGGGAGGCAGCAGUGGGGAAUAUUGCGCAAUGGGCGAAAGCCUGACGCAGCGACGCCGCGUGAGGGAUGAAGGUCUUCGGAUCGUAAACCUCCGUCAGCAGGGAAGAACGGUCACUGUGCUAAUCAGCAGUGAAUUGACGGUACCUGCAAAGGAAGCACCGGAUAACUCCGUGCCAGCAGCCGCGGUAAUACGGAGGGUGCGAGCGUUAAUCGGAAUUACUGGGCGUAAAGCGCUCGUAGGCGGUAUGUCAAGUCAAGGGUGAAAUCCCCGCGCUCAACGUGGGAACUGCCUUUGAAACUGGCAGACUGGAGUGUGUGAGAGGAUAGUGGAAUUCCAGGUGUAGGAGUGAAAUCCGUAGAUAUCGGGAGGAACAUCAGUGGCGAAGGCGACUAUCUGGCACAUAACUGACGCUGAGGAGCGAAAGCGUGGGUAGCAAACAGGAUUAGAUACCCGAGUAGUC
rnacentral:rRNA from 1 species